GGGGGGACGCAGUAGGAUAGGCGAAGCGUGCGAUUGGAUUGCACGUCUAAGCAGUAAGGCUGAGUAUUAGGCAAAUCCGGUACUCGUUAAGGCUGAGCUGUGAUGGGGAGAAGACAUUGUGUCUUCGAGUCGUUGAUUUCACACUGCCGAGAAAAGCCUCUAGAUAGAAAAUAGGUGCCCGUACCGCAAACCGACACAGGUAGUCAAGAUGAGAAUUCUAAGGUGAGCGAGCGAACUCUCGUUAAGGAACUCGGCAAAAUGACCCCGUAACUUCGGGAGAAGGGGUGCUCUUUAGGGUUAACGCCCAGAAGAGCCGCAGUGAAUAGGCCCAAGCGACUGUUUAUCAAAAACACAGGUCUCUGCUAAACCGUAAGGUGAUGUAUAGGGGCUGACGCCUGCCCGGUGCUGGAAGGUUAAGAGGAGUGGUUAGCUUCUGCGAAGCUACGAAUCGAAGCCCCAGUAAACGGCGGCCGUAACUAUAACGGUCCUAAGGUAGCGAAAUUCCUUGUCGGGUAAGUUCCGACCCGCACGAAAGGCGUAACGAUUUGGGCACUGUCUCAACGAGAGACUCGGUGAAAUCAUAGUACCUGUGAAGAUGCAGGUUACCCGCGACAGGACGGAAAGACCCCGUGGAGCUUUACUGUAGCCUGAUAUUGAAAUUCGGCACAGCUUGUACAGGAUAGGUAGGAGCCUUUGAAACGUGAGCGCUAGCUUACGUGGAGGCGCUGGUGGGAUACUACCCUAGCUGUGUUGGCUUUCUAACCCGCACCACUUAUCGUGGUGGGAGACAGUGUCAGGCGGGCAGUUUGACUGGGGCGGUCGCCUCCUAAAAGGUAACGGAGGCGCUCAAAGGUUCCCUCAGAAUGGUUGGAAAUCAUUCAUAGAGUGUAAAGGCAUAAGGGAGCUUGACUGCGAGACCUACAAGUCGAGCAGGGUCGAAAGACGGACUUAGUGAUCCGGUGGUUCCGCAUGGAAGGGCCAUCGCUCAACGGAUAAAAGCUACCCCGGGGAUAACAGGCUUAUCUCCCCCAAGAGUUCACAUCGACGGGGAGGUUUGGCACCUCGAUGUCGGCUCAUCGCAUCCUGGGGCUGUAGUCGGUCCCAAGGGUUGGGCUGUUCGCCCAUUAAAGCGGUACGCGAGCUGGGUUCAGAACGUCGUGAGACAGUUCGGUCCCUAUCCGUCGUGGGCGUAGGAAAUUUGAGAGGAGCUGUCCUUAGUACGAGAGGACCGGGAUGGACAUACCUCUGGUGUACCAGUUGUCGUGCCAACGGCAUAGCUGGGUAGCUAUGUGUGGACGGGAUAAGUGCUGAAAGCAUCUAAGCAUGAAGCCCCCC
rnacentral:rRNA from 1 species